rnacentral:lncRNA from 1 species
AAAAAAGGCUUAGAUUGCUUGACUAAAUACGCUAAUAGCUUUAGUACAUUCCGUAGGGGUACUUCUUAUAUCGACAGAAAAACACAAAAGCAUUCAGAAUGAGCACAACAUAUCUUUUUUUAUUUAUUAGGAAGCAUAGAGUAGAACCAAACGAGGGAAUCCAAAAUGCCCUUCAAAACACUCAAAACCAACCCAUACAAAGCCAAUUUCAAGCUCAAGAAAAUGUGAAUUUUCAAAUCCUUCUAAGCCUCAAACUUCUACCUUAAAAAACCUCUGUUGAUUUUAGCAACAUUUCAAGAACCCCAUGUUAGAUUACCUUCAUUGAAUAAUUUAUUACCAAUCCAUUCUUACACAAAGCAAGAUUCACCAGAUUACCUCAAAAACAAGAUGGGCAGAUUCGCAAGAUAAUCUAAGUAAUAACAGCAUUGACAUCAGAGGAAGCAACAACAACAUGGGCAGAAGCCAGAGGGUUGCGCUGGAAGUUGAGAUGAUUCGCAUUAGAGUAAGAGAGGUGAGUGGAGGGGGGUCCAGGACAGGUAGAAGAGACGUUGGGAAGGGGGUCGCGCAGAGAAACAAAUAAGGGGGAAUUGUAGGGAUAUGGUGGUCGGAUGUUGGUUGGUGGCGGGUGGAGGGCGGACUGGACUCGCCGGAUUUGGAGCAUAGGCCACGCUGAGCUGAAUGGUUAGGGUAAGCUGGGGACGGGGACUUGGGGAGAGAGAAAAUAAUGAAGAAAUGAGGGAAAAAAAAUUAUGUUUCUAAUGAGAGAUUUUCAAAAUUUCGUCGCUAAAUUCCAUCACUAAAUCAAAAUUCUUUCUUAAUUAACAAAAUGAAAAACUCGCUAGCGACAGAAUAUUUUUGUCGCUACAUC